rnacentral:rRNA from 1 species
UACGGAGGGUGCAAGCGUUGUCCGGAUUUAUUGGGUUUAAAGGGUGCGUAGGUGGCCCUAUAAGUCAGUGGUGAAAGCCUGCAGCUUAACUGUAGGAUUGCCAUUGAUACUGUAGGGCUUGAGUACUGAUGAGGUAGGCGGAAUUGAUAGUAUAGCGGUGAAAUGCAUAGAUAUUAUCAAGAACACCGAUUGCGAAGGCAGCUUACUAAGGAGUUACUGACACUGAGGCACGAAAGCGUGGGGAUCAAACAGG